rnacentral:rRNA from 1 species
UGACUAUAGCAUCAGGGUUCCACCUCUUCCCAUUCCGAACAGAGAAGUUAAGCCUGAUCACGCCGAUGGUACUGCGUAACAGUGGGAGAGUAGGUAGUCGCCGUUU